AAAAGUGUCCACUACAGGCCAUGAGACAGAUAAAUAGCUGGAUAGAUGUUCCCCUGGGAAACGAAAAAAACUUAGGGGUAGUACACCUGCGUGUGUUUGGUCAGUGCCUACGUAUGUGUGCCGAUUCGCUCCCUUUCGCUGAUACAGGGGAUGAUCUGUUACAUUUACGCACCCCACAAGCUGCUCGAGAAAAAUGCCAGAACGGU
rnacentral:lncRNA from 1 species